AGUGAUGACGCCAGCGUGGCUUGCGUCUCGCGCAUUUACAACCUGUCGCUUUGUGCCGGUCCCGCCAGCGACAGGCUCGCCAAGCAGGAAAAUGUGUUUGAAAAAUGAGCAUUCCUAGUUGCGAUGCCGAGUCACAGGCAGAAAUUACUGUGGCAGGGGCGCAGACUAAGGAUCAGGAGCCAGGUUGCGACGAUGGCAGCUUCCGCCGUGACAUUGCCCACGUCCAUCACAAAGCUCUCCGUCUUCCUGAAGCACCCGGCCGGGAAGAAACUUUGACCAAUGAGUGCGGCGCCCAGUUUGUCCUCGGCCCAGUCCGGGAAAGGCUAGAGUAAGCGUCGCGAGACUUUCCAACAGAUAGGUGGAACGCUGACACUUUUUGUUCUGGCAUCUGUCAUCAUCGUGUUCAGCAUCAUCGGAGGAAUCAUUGCUGUCAUCAUUCUAGAAGAUGCUGAGAAACAGAAACGGAGCGCGUCAAUCGAGUCUGCAGAUCUCGAAUAAAUCACAUCACAGAGCUACAGUACACAGCCAAAGUGCUGCAUCACUUUGCUCCCCGUGCAGAAAGCCUGCAGACUGCUAUGGUUUGACACUACCCUGGCUCCAACUGUUAGCUCUUGCACUAGGUGUAGAUGCUUUUGUAUUCAAGUGGUCACUUAACGUUACUUGUUAUUGCACAAAAACUUAUGUUUAUAAGCAUGUCAUAGUUGUUUACCCGGUGACACCACUUCAUGGAAACUUGUGGAAAAUACAAAGCUCUUACACCGUGUCCCGCAGCAAGACUCGUGCUCCAUGUACGAUCCGUUGUGUAAUAAAUGUAAAAACUACGGCUUUAUUUUCUCCAGCAGAAAGGCCAGCAGUC